rnacentral:rRNA from 1 species
GGAUGAACGCUGGCGGCGUGCCUAAUCCAUGCAAGUCGAGCGAACAGCUAAGGAGCUUGCUCCUUUGACGUUAGCGGCGGACGGGUGAGUAACACGUGGAUAACCUACCUAUAAGACUGGGAUAACUUCGGGAAACCGGAGCUAAUACCGGAUAACAUAUUGAACCGCAUGGUUCAAUAGUGAAAGGCGGCUUUGCUGUCACUUAUAGAUGGAUCCGCGCCGUAUUAGCUAGUUGGUAAGGUAACGGCUUACCAAGGCAACGAUACGUAGCCGACCUGAGAGGGUGAUCGGCCACACUGGAACUGAGACACGGUCCAGACUCCUACGGGAGGCAGCAGUAGGGAAUCUUCCGCAAUGGGCGAAAGCCUGACGGAGCAACGCCGCGUGAGUGAUGAAGGUCUUCGGAUCGUAAAACUCUGUUAUCAGGGAAGAACAAAUGUGUAAGUAACUGUGCACAUCUUGACGGUACCUGAUCAGAAAGCCACGGCUAACUACGUG